UUUUAUUGUAUCGCAAAUAUUCUAACACAGGUUAUUUAUUAUUAGCUCCUGGCCUUACAGGAUAUUUAUUUAUACGGGGAAGAAACAGUCCAACCUAUCUUUAAAAUGGUUGGAGGGACGUGGGUAAUUGCAUUUUAAAAUACCUGGAAUUAAAGCAGAAAAAAAUAACCCUUUGGGUUAACACAGUCUGCGAUCUUCAGGAUUCCUGGUAGGAUAUUAGCAAUAAAAAGGUUACUUUUUUGGAAAAUAUAUUUAAUUUAAAAAAAAUUAUAAACUUUGAACAGGCGAGCCGCCAAAAUUGUAUUACGAUUAAAAUAUCGGGUAACUUGUUUUUAUAAUAAAAUACAGUGGGUUAAAACAACUAAACGUCUAAUUGGGUAAUUGGGGUUCUUAAUAAUUGGGGGUAAAAUUAUAAUUAUUCUCAAAUAAAUAUUAAAAUUAACUAGAAAUACGUGGCCCACAAAUGCAAACGAGGUUUGCUUAAAGGCCUGCACCGGGACCAUAAUAAGGCCCCACCGUAUCGUGUUAAAAACGCCCCAUGCUAUCGCAUAUAUCGAACCCAUUAAUACAAUAUUGUUUACCAGCCAGAAAUAAAGCACGUUGCGGAUUGCCGAUUCGAUAAAAGUCAGGACGCCGGGACGGAAUAAGAUUAGGAGCGCGCGGGGAUGGGGUUUCGUUGUAGUCCAUUCCUGCAAAAUAUUUCCUUUCCCCUUUUGGUAUUAAACCGUAUUCCUCCGAAAAAAAUAUACCAGGCCGAUAAAUGCAGAUGCCAGGUUGCAAACGAACUAAAUCCCUCCUUAUAUAUUAACUGUGGGUUUAUAAAAGCCAAAAUAAAUUUUAAAAAUAAACAACAGGUCCAAAAUAAUAUUAACAGCAAAUUUGACCGAACUAAUAAUUAGCGGAACGUUAGGCCGGUUAAGCGCCCUGGUAGCAAAUACAACAACCAUUUCGAUUAAAAAGUUAAAUACGUUAAACGCUCCGAUGCGCAUAUAAGUAAUGUUCGCCUCGCGGACCUCGACGGGCAUAAAACCAUCGGUAAAACUCCUGGCCCCUCCCACGAAUAUUAGGCUUAUUAUAAGACCCAGGACAGCCUAAAAAAAAAUACGCGUAUUUAAAAGCUGGAGCCGUUAUAUAAUAAUGCGAAAAGCAUAAUUACCAAUAAUAACCCAUGCCGUUCGUGGAAGGCUUUCGUUAAAAAUCUCUGCGAUUACGCUAAUAUAAAUAUACGUAUCGGUUAUAACGACGAAGGAAAAGUUAAUAUUGGCGACCCAUAAUUUUGACAAUGUGCCGUACAGGGCAAAAAGGAUAAAUAAAGCAAGAUUAUAAAUUAGGGCGCCAAUGCAAUUCCCGCGGUAAAAUUGUUUGUUGGACCACAGUUUGGGAAAGGUUAGAUUGUUUUUUUAAACCUCGCCAUAAGACGCCGGGCGGGUGGUCUUACUAAUGUUAAUUUUAGGAAAUAUUAUGUAACCUAAACGAUUGUUUGUUAUAAUAUAAUAAAACCGCAAAAAUGUUAAUUGCGCCAUUUUGUAAAAAUUGCAGCAUUUUAUUUUUAUUUAUAUAUAUACCGUUAUCGCUACCAAGACUUGGUUCCCGCUAAAUUAUUGCAAUAUUGGCUGGACAAUAUUAAAGAAUUUUACCCCGCACCAACCAUCCACCAGAAGGCCGUUAAAAUAACGUGUUAGAAUUUUUCGGCGAAACUUUUCCUAAUAUUGCAACCUAGCCAGCUUAAGGUAAUAUAUUCCUACAAACUGCCACAAAAAUGGGUUUAUAAAACCUUUUCCCUUUACCAUUUUAUUUAACGACCGCUUCUUAGGACAGGUAAAUAAAAAAAAGCGCAGCUUUUUCGCCCGUUAAUUUGUUCAACUUUAAUAUCUUUUUUUGGAUACCGUGUUUCGGUAUGCAAAAAACUUUUUAAAACUUCUGCGCCUCGGUUCGUGGACGCGUCCUGUUUAUUUUAAUAUAUAUUUUGCGGAAGAUCGGGAAAUAAUAAAUUAUAUAACGGGAUUUGGUUUUAACGCAGGUGGAAUAUAAAAGGAAUUGGAAAUUUAAUUCCUUAUUUUAAUAUUAUUUACCAAGAUUUUAUAUAAAAAAAGCUAGCAAACACCUGGUCACUCGAUUUUGGACCGCGAUACCUUCCGAAACUGGAAAUUACUCAAUUUACCGUUAAAUACAGCGAAACUUUUAUAAAUUAACAGGCCUGCAAAUUACGGAAAGAUAAUUUCCAGAACGCAGAAACGGGGUAAUCCGAUACCAACGGGUUUAUCCGCAUAUAUUUUUGGUCAGAUUUUGCGUAAGGCGUAUUCGACAAUAUACCCUACAAAAAUACCGAACGUUUGCCGAAUGGGUUAGGAUAAGAAUAUAGCACCCCAAAAAGCUAAUGCUAAUCCCCUGCCCUUAUACGCACGUCCCGCCUUUUUUAAAGCUAAUGCUCGUCCCCUGCCCUCAUACGCACGUAUAUAUAAUUGGAAUUAACGUUUAUCCCUCUAAACGUCGUCCCACCUUUAACAGGUCAGUCCCUUUAUCCUUUAUAUUCCUAAUGUCGUCCGAUUAGUUUUAUAAUUUGUCAAAGUUAUAUAUAAUACCCCUCGCCGUUAUGGAUUAUUUCUCAAUUCGAUCUGAAGCGCUAAACGCCAAAAAAAAUGCGGACAAAAUUAUAAAAAAAGCUGAUAAAAUUGCGGCAAAAGCGGAACGAACUGCGGCAAAGGCGCAAAAAAUUGCGGCAAAAACGUAGAAAAUUAAGUCGUUUGCAGACGAAACUGUUAAUGUCCAUAAAAGGGUUAGGUUUGAAAAGGUGGAAAAGGUUAAGCAAAUGUUGCAAACAACGCAACCCGUUGCUAAAUUAUCACGACAAAACCACCGUUCGGUUGUAAAAAAGGUGGCGCAUUUUUGGGUUUAUAACAAAUCGGCGAUACAAAUAUUACUUCCAAUUUUAAUUGGAUUUUCUCGUUCCCUGCAAAAAUAUAAUUGGGAGCGAAUGGAAUUGUUUCCAAAGGCGAUAUUAUUUUAAAAGCACGUUUUUAUCGAAAAAUUCCCCCUAAAUUUAUUUUAUUGGGUAUAAUUCUGUUAAUAGCAUGGCGAUUUCGACAAAUCGAACGAAUUAAAACUUUUUUUAAUUGGUAAAUUUAAAAUAUAUCGGCAAAUUACAGGCACACUAACUAAUAAAUUUCCUAUAAAUUUUAUAUACGAAGUCUUUGCAUUUAAAUUACCAAAACUUACGAAAAAACUGGAACGUAUUUACGUUAUUAGGUUAUCCGACUCGCAUUUUCCCCCUCCAAAACCUAUUUUAACAGCUUUUAACGGCGGCCAAGGGAACCGGAAACGCCCACGUUAUACGCUAUUUUAUCCUGCGGGUGGUUCUUAUAUAAAAUCGCCGUUAUAUAAUAUUUGUCGAACGAACGGAAUAUUUAUGGAUAAUUUGCUCCAAAUUAUACCGCCACCUACCACCACGAUAAUUAUAGAAACGGCGAAAAACCAGGUGGUCCCAAAGAUAUGUCCUGGUUUUGUUAAUAUCCAGCCGUCCACGUCGGCAGAAUUUGGCGUGGCUACACCUGCAUAUAUUUACGGACAAGAUCGCGCGUCUGGUAGGAAUAAUCUUAUAUUUGCCCCUUUACACCUGCUACAACCAAAGGGAUUUGCCCCAUUUUGGCCCGUCGUCCGGUUUUAACCUAACCCUCCGGUCGUAAUUUUACCCUAUCCAAAUACCUAAUAUGGCUUCUAUAACAUUAUAACUUAUUCGGAUUUUUAUAUAUUAGGUGGGUUUCCUUUAACUCCUACGGUAUUAGGAAAUAACGCUCCUACCAUAACCAAAUUCCAACGAAUAAUUCCGUACGUUAACCUUGUUUUAACGCACCGUUGGUCUAUUAUAUUUGGGCUGCAAAAUUUCACAAUUGAUCCUAAAGAAAAUCUAACGGUGUUUCCCUUUCCAUUAAUUAUUUCUUUUGGACAAAAUCUCCCUGGAAUUACAAAUAAAACAACGGCCAAGGAAGAUUUGGCGACUGUUCGAAAAACCGGAUUUUUGCACUGGGAAAACAAUUUUGUCGCUCGAAAUAUAAAACGUUUACAAAAUUUACCCUAUUUUUGGGCUAUUAAAGGGUUAAAUAUCCUUCGAUCGAUUUUUACAAAUUUACAAUUGCAAAACGCCUUUCAAAAAGAAUUAAAGAUGGGGCCGUAUUUAGUCCGGCAUUGCAUAUGGUGGAAAGUCCCAGGAGCUCCAGGAAAUAUUUUUUUAGAAACCGAUACGGGUUAUAUAAUUAACAAAUGUUUAGGUAUACACGUUUUAUCCAAAAUAAUAUAUAUUCGCUACUUUACCGGGUCCUAUAUAUAUAAAUGGUUACCAACUGGGUGGCUUUGGUUUACAAAUUGUAAAAUAUCGAAGUUUGAAAAGUUUAACAGAAAUAAGCCAAUGUCCAACGGGUUAUAAAUUGUUUAAACAACUAAUUUGCAUAUUUAAAUCCAAAAAAAAACUAACAGCAUUUCUAACACUUUGUUCGAUCCCAGGAUAAAUUACUGUCUCGAAAGCGGUACGGCCAUAACGAUUAUUAUUAGAAAAUCGGAACUAUUAACAGGGUGGAUGCCCUUGCCGCGAAUAAAUCCGCACAUGGGAGAUAUUUUAAAAAAAAUAAAACAGGAUUUUGGCAUUGGUUGGAACUUGGUCCAGUUUGGUCUAAACGGUAUUAAUAUAGUUAUAUAACGAGAUUAUAUAGGAAAAACAUAUAUAAAACGUGGGACGCGGUUGUUUAUUUUCCACAACCAGGGCAUCUCCCACCGGAAAUAUUUUUAUCUUAACAAUUUUGGCAAAAUACUAUAAUUUUAAAUGAAAAUAUAAUAAAUAAAACUGGGUAUAAAAAAAUUGGCAGGUUAAAUUGUUAAUAAAUCUUAACUUAAAUUAAUAUUUGCGUAAUUUAAAUAUUUUACAACUGGUGGGUAUAACCGGUGGCUUUAUUAUUAGCCGUAAACCCCACUAAAAAUCCCGUUUAACCAAACAAAUUAAUUUCAUUUACCCACACCGGCUAUAUAAAGGUGGAAAUUCGGGAUAGUUUAAAUUCCAAAUAUGUGAUAUUUUUCAAAACCCGCGAAAUUAACCACGUGGUGUAAUUGCAAUCGCGUGGCAACUCGAUUACGGAAACUCUCUUUUUAACAGUUACAAAUAUUCCAUUUAUUAUCCUAGAUAAGGAUAU
rnacentral:sRNA from 1 species